rnacentral:rRNA from 1 species
ACGAACGCUGGCGGCGUGCCUAAUACAUGCAAGUCGAGCGGACGGAUGGGAGCUUGCUCCCAGACCGUCAGCGGCGGACGGGUGAGUAACACGUGGGCAACCUGCCUGUAAGACUGGGAUAACUCCGGGAAACCGGGGCUAAUACCGGAUAACUCUUUCCCUCACAUGAGGGAAAGCUGAAAGAUGGCAUCUCGCUAUCACUUACAGAUGGGCCCGCGGCGCAUUAGCUAGUUGGUGAGGUAACGGCUCACCAAGGCGACGAUGCGUAGCCGACCUGAGAGGGUGAUCGGCCACACUGGGACUGAGACACGGCCCAGACUCCUACGGGAGGCAGCAGUAGGGAAUCUUCCGCAAAGGACGAAAGUCUGACGGAGCAACGCCGCGUGAGUGAUGAAGGUUUUUGGAUCGUAAAACUCUGUUGUCAGGGAAGAACAAGUACCGGAGUAACUGCCGGUACCUUGACGGUACCUGACCAGAAAGCCACGGCUAACUACGUG